rnacentral:rRNA from 1 species
UACGGAGGGUGCGAGCGUUGUCCGGAAUCACUGGGCGUAAAGGGCGCGUAGGCGGCGCGGCAAGCGUGCGGUGAAAGCCCGGGGCUCAACCCCGGGUCGGCCGUGCGAACUGCCGGGCUCGAGCACUGUAGAGGCGGGUGGAAUUCCGGGUGUAGCGGUGGAAUGCGUAGAGAUCCGGAAGAACACCGGUGGCGAAGGCGGCCCGCUGGGCAGUGGCUGACGCUGAGGCGCGACAGCGUGGGGAGCAAACAGG